rnacentral:rRNA from 1 species
CACGUAGGCGGCUUGGUAUGUCGGGUGUGAAAUCCCCGGGCUCAACCUGGGAACUGCAUCCGAAACUGCCUUGCUAGAGUAUGGGAGAGGGAAGUGGAAUUUCCGGUGUAGCGGUGAAAUGCGUAGAUAUCGGAAGGAACAUCAGUGGCGAAGGCGACUUCCUGGACCAAUACUGACGCUCAGUGCGAAAGCGUGGGGAGCAAACA